rnacentral:misc_RNA from 1 species
AGCAGCCGCGGUAAUUCCAGCUCCAAUAGCGUAUAUUAAAGUUGCUGCAGUUAAAAAGCUCGUAGUUGAAUUUCGGGACCAUCAUGUUGGUCGUGCCUCGGUACGUACUGGCAUUGUUGGUUUCUCCCUUCUGACGAACCAUGAUGUCAUUUAUUUGGUGUCGUGGGAAAUCAGGACUGUUACUUUGAAAAAUUAGAGUGUUUAAAGCAGGCUCACGCUUGAAUACAUUAGCAUGGAAUAGUGAAAUAGGACGUUUGAUUCUAUUUUGUUGGUUUCUAGGAUCGACGUAAUGAUUAAUAGGGAUAGUUGGGGGCAUUAGUAUUCAAUUGUCAGAGGUGAAAUUCUUGGAUUUUAUUGAAGACUAACUACUGCGAAAGCAUUUGCCAAGGAUGUUUUCAUUAAUCAAGAACGAAAGUUAGGGGAUCGAAGACGAUCAGAUACCGUCGUAGUCUUAACCAUAAACUAUGCCGACUAGGGAUCGGAUGAUGUUUAAUUUUUAAUGUACUCAUUCGGCGUACCC